rnacentral:rRNA from 1 species
GAUGAACGCUGGCGGCGUGCUUAACACAUGCAAGUCGAACGGAAAGGCUCCUGCUUGCAGGGGUACUCGAGUGGCGAACGGGUGAGUAACACGUGGGUGAUCUGCCCUGCACUUCGGGAUAAGCCUGGGAAACUGGGUCUAAUACCGGAUAGGACCACAUUUUGGAUGGUGUGGUGGAAAGUUUUUCGGUGCGGGAUGAGCUCGCGGCCUAUCAGCUUGUUGGUGGGGUAAUGGCCUACCAAGGCGUCGACGGGUAGCCGGCCUGAGAGGGUGUACGGCCACAUUGGGACUGAGAUACGGCCCAGACUCCUACGGGAGGCAGCAGUGGGGAAUAUUGCACAAUGGGCGCAAGCCUGAUGCAGCGACGCCGCGUGGGGGAUGACGGCCUUCGGGUUGUAAACUCCUUUCGCUAGGGACGAAGCGUUUUUGUGACGGUACCUUGAGAAGAAGCACCGGCUAACUACGUG